UACAUGGGGUGCAAACGUUGCUCGGAAUUAUUGGGCGUAAAGCGCGCGUAGGCGGUUAUCUAAGUCGGAUGUGAAAGCCCUCGGCUUAACUGAGGAAGUGCACCCGAAACUGGAUAGCUAGAGUACGAAAGAGGGUCGCGGAAUUCCCAGUGUAGAGGUGAAAUUCGUAGAUAUCGGGAGGAACACCGGUGGCGAAGGCGGCGACCUGGGUCGAGACUGACGCUGAGGCGCGAAAGCGUGGGGAGCAAACAGG
rnacentral:rRNA from 1 species